CGCGUUUUUGGGGUCUUAAGUUGCGUUUUUCAAACGCAGCUUUAGACCGGUUUUUUUGUAGUGUUGGUAAGGGUUCUAGCUACUCUCCUCUUAGAAUCCAUGUUUUCCUUUAAAUAAUUUUAGUAAUGGUAUUUGUAAGUCUAUAUAUAUAUAUAUAUAUGCUGUUUUAAGAAGCUUUGAAGUUGUGUUGGUGAUUUGUUGAAGGUAGGUUAGGGUUUUUACUAAUUAAUGAUUUUAUAGGAUUAAGGAAGUAAGAAAAUGUUAGGAUGAGUAUUUUGAUGCUGCUGCUGGGAUUUUUGGUUGUGGGUAUUUUGCUCUAAAUGGUUAAAUGACUGUAUGUAAGUGUUUUAUAACAUGUCUUAUGAGUGUAUAAAAAUCCCCAUAUGAAAAUACCAUCGUUUGAUAAUUGUUUGUGGAUUUACGAUAAAAUGUUGCAAAGCUGUCACUGUGACAGAUUCUGUGUUUAUGCAUGAUAAAUUAUGUAUUAAAUUUCAUAUAGUGAAUUUGGAUGCUAGGGAUAAUUCCUAUGAAACCUAACACACUUGUGGUUGUUAUUGAAUUGGUCUCACAGCAUUUGGAUUAAUAUAAAAAUAAUGGUUUAAUUUUUAAGUUGCAAGAAAUUCUGUCAGGGCAGAUUUGAGUAUGCUGUCUUGUGUGAUUUUUAGUAAAUCAUGGGUUUAUUAUUUGGCUCCGAAAUUUUUAUGUUAUAUACUGAACAUACAGGGGAGUUGUUAUGUAAAAUUUCAUAACAAUUGGAUAUGUUUGAACAGCCCGUUUGUAUUUUACAAAUGGAGCCUAUGCUGCUGGAAUAGAACAGUGAAUAGUAAGGGACAUGCCUAACUUUGUGGAUUUAAUUCUCAAGUUAGGGUGAAUGUUUUGAGCUAUAAUUUAAUAUGCUCAUCCUUUGGUAUGUUAGAAUCAUAUAUAAAUUUUAUGAAUUGGUUUCUCUAUGAUUUAGUACAUCAUGUUGUCUGAUGAAUGCAUUUUGUGUUUGUGGGAACCUCUUUGAGGUGGGAUUAGGACUUCCUUGAUUCUAAGAGAUGGGCUUUGAGAUGAAUGUGAAGUUUAUGAUAAGGAAUUAUGGAUAGUAAUAAGCUUUGAUUUAUGGUUUAGGUGUUACCGGUAUCCAAGUCUAAGCUCCUUCGACUUUAGGCUCUCGGUUCCUCUGCUUUCAGUUAACAGGUUUUAUUUUGGAGCUGAGGGAGCCUUAGUCGAGUUUUGGAAGGAGCUGGUUUAGUUUUAUAUGUAUAGAUCCUAAAUUAGCAAUAUGAUGUUUAGAUUUGUAGCAUUGUUUAUUCUAGGAUCUAAUGAAAGUGUAUACCUUAAAGUAUUAAGAGAUGUAUUAUGUGAAAUUCUAAAUUUGAACAAUUGGUGAAUUAUGUUAUUCUUUGGAGUACAA